CCUUUCUCAAUUGGAUUUGGGUUUAUUCACAGCACUUGUAAAACAGCGUUAACGUAAAGAUAACGCGUGCAGGGAGUGUGCCGUGGGUUACCACAAGCGAUGAAGGAUUUUGGGACGGUGCCAAGGCAGUUUCCCCCUCAACGCACUGUUUUUUUCUGGAAGAAUUAUGCGAGAGCGGAAAAGUUGCAAUGGCAUCGCAGUUCCCUGCUCAGAAAAUGCCCAGGGAGUAAAGCACGGCCAAGUGGUGCCAUUCAACUGCACCACAGCUGGGAGCAUCAGGUUCAUUCCUAUUGUAAUCUGCAAAUGGCAAAACAGUGUUGCUCUUUUAUCAUAUCAUAUAUAUAUAUGAUAUAAAUAUAUCACAUUUAUUCAGGGGGAGCCAUAAUUUUCAUCUGUUUGGAAUGCACCAGAUGUGUUUUAAGCCCUGCAAACACACCGAGAGCUCCAGAGUUUGUAGUGCAGUUUUCUGCAGCACUGAUUUAUUUUAUAUUCCCGUAACCAUGCCCUGGGGUACCAGGUAGGCUCAAUACCAGGAGCAGGAGAAGCAGAAGAUGCUUUGGAUAGAGCCCAGCCAGGUUUUAGGCAGCCUGCAAAGUCUGGCCUUGCACUACAAAUCGGUCUGCUGUUGCCAUCUGCUGGAAAAAUCCCUAAUGGAUAUUUCCAAACGUAGGGAAGAGUGUCUGCUCCUGUCACAGAACUACUGGCGGCUUUUUCCCCUCUAGCUCCGUGUGAUCUGCCCAAGAGCAACGUGUGCCACAGGCUGUUACCGCCCUCUGCAGGGUGAAACACCUUCAGCCAAGGUCAGUGUAAGAGCAAAACAAUCCUUCCAACAACAGCCUGCUACUAGAGAGGCAAAAAAUUAUCCUUCCAAAGGAAUUCAUCCUUCUCCCUUUCAACUCUCCUGUUUCAUCACACCAUAGAAUGGUUUGGAUUGGAAGGGACCUUAAAAACGACCUAGUUCCACUCCCCUGUCCUGGGCAGGGACACCUUCCCCUCGGCCAGGUCGCUUUGCUGUGCCCCCAGAUCUGUCACCUGAGCUGAGCAGUCCCCAUUCCACACGUGUUCACACAGAGACCACGCAAACUUUGACACAAGUCCUAAAGAUCCUGUUCAUCCCAACACAUCAAAUCUAGAAUUUAUUUCUUUCUACACCCUUUGCACUUAUUUUUUUCUCAAACUGUCACGCCCAUAAAAAUAAUUCUGUGCCCUACUCCUAUGGGAUUUUCAGGGGUACUGGAUAUCACUUCCUUUUCCUUCAGAUAUCUUUUCUUCCUAGCAGGAGUCUUCAAAAUCCUUUCCUCCUCCUAAAGGCUCUGCAGCUCUUCACUCUGUAGAAGGUAAGAGCACACAGUAU
rnacentral:lncRNA from 1 species